UACGUAGGGUGCAAGCGUUGUCCGGAAUUAUUGGGCGUAAAGAGCUCGUAGGCGGUCUGUUGCGUCGGCUGUGAAAACCCGGGGCUCAACUCCGGGCCUGCAGCCGAUACGGGCAGACUAGAGUUCGGCAGGGGAGACUGGAAUUCCUGGUGUAGCGGUGAAAUGCGCAGAUAUCAGGAGGAACACCGAUGGCGAAGGCAGAUCUCUGGGCAUUAACUGACGCUGAGGAGCGAAAGCAUGGGGAGCGAACAGG
rnacentral:rRNA from 1 species